GUGGGGAAUCUUCCGCAAUGGACGAAAGUCUGACGGAGCAACGCCGCGUGAGUGAUGAAGGUCUUCGGAUUGUAAAGCUCUGUUAAUCGGGACGAAAGAGCCUAGUGUGAAUAAUGCUAGGAAGUGACGGUACCGGAAUAGAAAGCCACGGCUAACUACGUGCCAGCAGCCGCGGUAAUACGUAGGUGGCAAGCGUUGUCCGGAAUUAUUGGGCGUAAAGCGCGCGCAGGCGGAUCUGCCAGUCUGUCUUAAAAGUUCGGGGCUUAACCCCGUGAUGGGAUGGAAACUACAGAUCUAGAGUAUCGGAGAGGAAAGUGGAAUUCCUAGUGUAGCGGUGAAAUGCGUAGAUAUUAGGAAGAACACCAGUGGCGAAGGCGACUUUCUGGACGAAAACUGACGCUGAGGCGCGAAAGCCAGGGGAGCAAACGGGAUUAGAUACCCGUGUAGUCC
rnacentral:rRNA from 1 species